UGAGGCAAACUGCGAACGGUAGCACAGAGAGUUGCUCUCGGGUGACGAGUGGGGGACGGGUGAGUAAUGUCUGGGAAACUGCCUGAUGGAGGGGGAUAACUACUGGAAACGGUAGCUAAUACCGCAUAACGUCGCAAGACCAAAGAGGGGGACCUUCGGGCCUCUUGCCAUCAGAUGUGCCCAGAUGGGAUUAGCUGGUAGGUGGGGUAACGGCUCACCUAUGCGACGAUCCCUAUCUGGUCUGAGAGGAUGACCAGCCACACUGGAACUGAGACACGGUCCAGACUCCUACGGGAGGCAGCAGUGGGGAAUAUUGCACAAUGGGCGCAAGCCUGAUGCAGCCAUGCCGCGUGUAUGAAGAAGGCCUUCGGGUUGUAAAGUACUUUCAGCGGGGAGGAAGGCGAUAAGGUUAAUAACCUCGUCGAUUGACGUUACCCGCAGAAAAAACACCGGCUAACUCCGUGCCAGCAGCCGCGGUAAUACGGAGGGUGCAAGCGUUAAUCGGAAUUACUGGGCGUAAAGCGCACGCAGGCGGUCUGUCAAGUCGGAUGUGAAAUCCCCGGGCUCAACCUGGGAACUGCAUUCUAAACUGGCAGGCUGGAGUCUUGUAGAGGGGGGUAGAAUUCCACGUGUAGCGGUGAAAUGCGUAUAGAUCUGGAGGAAUACCGCUGGCGAAAGCGGCCCCCUGUACAAAGACUGACGCUCAGGUGCGAAAGCGUGGGGAGCAAAACAGGAUUAUAUACCCCUGGUGAA
rnacentral:rRNA from 1 species